AAGAGUGACACUGGAAACCAGAUCUGUUGACUCCCAAUCCAGCAGCCUCGGUGCUGACCCAGAGCCUAGAAUCUGUCAGGUUAUUUUCUGAUUGCUCAAAUGCACAAGAGGAGGAAAGAGGAAAAUGUUACAUAAGAGAGAGCCAUGAAGCCCAGGACAUGAUGGGGGCCCACUCCUCUGCAGAGCCUAUGACACCCCUUUCCAGACUCUCGAAGUAUCCAUCGGUUUUGCUGAUUGUUUUUGUCUCUUUUUUUCUUUAAAAAAUAGAAUUUGUUAUAUCACAUUGCUCUCUGGGAGGGGGGAUGGACACUGGAAGAAUUCUGGUGAUGUAAAAACAAAAGAUAAAGACGGAAAAAAGGUUUUGGUUUUCUUUUUUUUUUUUUUAAGAAAAAGCGUUGGGGUGUGCUCUCUGGCACUGCUGGUUCUGCCCAAUGCAUGGGGAAGAAAUAAAACUGUGCCUGAUGGCCCAUUGGCGCUGCCCACUUCCAUAAGCCUCCUGAACCUAAGCCUUAGCCACAAGGAAGGCGGCACCAGAAACCCCCUUUCCCCGCCAUACAAACUAGUAUUCAGAGAAGGCAAGGGUCUUCCAGGCUGCUGUCCAAUCCCAUCACUUUACAGUGGACCAAAGAGAAGGCCAGAGAGAAGUGACCUAGCCAACGUCACUCCAGUACUAAGUGGCACCGGCCAUCCUCAAACCCAGGGUGGAAUCAGGAGACUGAGGCUGGAAAUCCCGCUCUACCACUGUUCUGCGGAACCUCAGACAAGCCUCUGAGAAGACUGGACGACAUGACCCCUAAGGCUUUGCCAUGAUUUUCUGACUCCUUGCCAAGUGCCCUUGCUAGACUGUCAGCCAGGUGAGGUGACUGCCGGCUAGGUGAUCUGCCUGGGACAGGACUGCCAGCCAGGUAAGGUGACUGCCAGCCAGGUGACCUGUCUGGGAUGGGGACUGCCAGCCAGGUGACCUGUCUGGGAUGGGGACUGCCGGCCAGGUGACCUGCCUGGGAUGGAACUGCUGGCCAGGUGAGGCCAUCUGCCUGGGACGGGGACUGCCGGCCAGGUGACCUGCCUGGGAUGGCAUCCGCUCCAGGAACUUGCUAUCCAGAAAGGAGAUGAACUUGAUGAACUCCACUAUCCAUUCUAAGACCAGGAAUCGGUGACCUGCGCCGAUGGCCCAGAACCCUGUCCACAGAACCACCAGCCCAUCACCUACUUGUGGUGUGACCUUAGGAGGGAAUUGAGGUCUAGCAAGCACUUGACCAAGGUCACUAGGUCAUGGAAGACCUGGGGAAGACUCCAAACUCCAAAUCCACUGUUCUUUCCAUUGGACUGCCUUAGGAUCGUAGAUUUAGAGCUGGGACUUUAGAAGACAUCCCUCUAAUUUUACAGAAAAUUCUUCCAUCGCGGUGGUGAGAAGUCAGGGCAAAAUAAUACCUUCCUGCCUAUGAGAGACUCUCUCCCGUGUAAGUGACCAUUAGCCAUCAUCAAUGGAUUGUCAGUCUGAGAAGCUCCAAGUCCCAUGUUGUCCUCCAACGCUUCCAAGAUCUUUGAUUUCAUCAGUGAAAGGACCAUCUCCAUUGACACAGAUUGAAAACCCUCCCUGACUGAGCCGGGAGCUCUUGAGAGUGGUUGACUUUGUCAGCACGUGGGUGGAGCUGGUGAUGAGCCCUUCUGGACAUAUAGUGAAGCUGGUUCUUGCCUGUAUUUGAAGGGAUCUUGGGAGGACCUGGGGGACCUUUUGAUUCUCCAGCCCAGGGUUAACUCCAAUGCACAGUGAGGCUUCAGAGUAAACUUUGGUCAGUGUUGGUAUUGGGAGAAAUUCAAGUGUCUCUAAUGGUCUGACACUUCUCCGUGAGGCCAGGGCUUUGCCAAGAGUCAGUAAGCGUUUAUGGCUAAACUGAUGUUUGAGCCCUACACUACGUGUGGCAGAGCCCCACCAUAGAACUUCCUGCUCUGUUUAUGAUCUCUUUGCCCUUACAGAACAAAAUAAAACAAAGUCUGACCAGAGCAGACAAUAGCAGAAGUGGAGUGACUCUCCUUUGAGGACACAGACCCAGUGUUCCACAGUUCAGACAAAAAGGCCGUCCAGAGAGAUCUUGAAACAUUGCCCAACCCUUGCAUUUGGAGUAUUGUGGAGGCUUGGCAAAUGAAGUACUGAAAAAGGAGAGUGGAAGGGAGAGGUCCAGAUAAGUACCACUGAAAUAGUGGAGGGUAGCUAUAUGGUGUGGUGGAUAGAGCAUUGGACCUGGAGUCUAGAAGACCUGAAAUCAAAUCC